AAUCAAAGAAUUGCUUAAAAAGAAGAUAUGAAAUUGUCACUGAAUUCCCAUGUUUAUUGGGACACCCUGUAUAUUAUAACAAUUUUAGAUCUGAUUUGUCAUUGCAACUGCACAUUAUAAAAGGAAGAACAGAGACGAUCAUUUAUUCCACGGUUUUCUCUUACUCACUGUAUGUAUUAAAAUAAUAUGUCAUAUUUAUGCAAUUUUGUAGUAUUUAAAAGUCCUUCCAACUAAGGAGGUAUCUCUUUUUCUAAUUAGAUUUAUUUUCUAUUUAAUUGAAAACCUUGCCUUUCUCUAGUUGUGGAUAUUGCGCUAACAGAAGCAGAGUAAAAUAUUUAGGUUCUGAAUGUAGUCUUUGGUCAUACAUACAUACAGCCUUUUAUGCACUGAAGCGGAUAUGGGUGUAUGCAUGUAAGUCUACUUCUCUGAAAUGUUAAUAAACAUGCUGUACAGUAAGAUUCAUAUCUUUAUUUUAUAAAUAUUAAAUAAAAUUACAAUAAUUA